UACGUAGGGGGCUAGCGUUGUCCGGAAUCAUUGGGCGUAAAGCGCGUGUAGGCGGUCCGGUAAGUCCGCUGUGAAAGUCGGGGGCUCAACCCUCGGAUGCCGGUGGAUACUGUCGGGCUUGAGUACGGAAGAGGCGAGUGGAAUUCCUGGUGUAGCGGUGAAAUGCGCAGAUAUCAGGAGGAACACCGAUUGCGAAGGCAGUUCUCCGGGCCGUAACUGACGCUGAGGAGCGAAAGCGUGGGGAGCGAACAGG
rnacentral:rRNA from 1 species